UACGAAGGGGGCUAGCGUUGCUCGGAAUCACUGGGCGUAAAGGGCGCGUAGGCGGCCCGGUAAGUCCGCUGUAAAAGUCCAGGGCUCAACCCUGGAAAGCCGGUGGAUACUGUCGGGCUUGAGUGUGGCAGAGGGGGGUGGAAUUCCGCGUGUAGCAGUGAAAUGCGUAGAGAUGCGGAGGAACACCGAUGGCGAAGGCAGCCCCCUGGGCCAACACUGACGCUCAGGCACGAAAGCGUGGGGAGCAAACAGG
rnacentral:rRNA from 1 species